GCACGAAGGUGGGCUAAUCACGGUUGGACAUCGUGAGGUUAGUGCAAUGGCAUAAGCCCGCUUGACUGCGAGAAUGACAAUUCGAGCAGGUGCGAAAGCAGGUCAUAGUGAUCCGGUGGUUCUGAAUGGAAGGGCCAUCGCUCAACGGAUAAAAGGUACUCCGGGGAUAACAGGCUGAUACCGCCCAAGAGUUCAUAUCGACGGCGGUGUUUGGCACCUCGAUGUCGGCUCAUCACAUCC
rnacentral:rRNA from 1 species